GACGAACGCUGGCGGCGUGCCUAACACAUGCAAGUCGAACGGAAAGGCCCUUCGGGUUACUCGAGUGGCGAACGGGCGGGUAACACGUGGGUGAUCUGCCCUGCACUUUGGGAUAAGCCUGUGAAACUGGGUCUAAUACCGAAUAAGAUCAUCGGCUUCAUAGUCGGUGGGGGAAAUCUUUUGCGGUGGUUGUUGGGCCCGCUGUCUAUCAGCUCGCUGGUGGAGUAAUGGCUGACCAAGGCGAGGACGGGUAGCCGGCCUGAGAGGGUCACCGGCCACACUGGGACUGAGGGACGGCGCAGACGCGAACGGGAGGCAGCAGUGGGGAGUAUUACACAGUGGGGGCGAGCCUGUGACGGCGACGCCGCGUGCGGGAUGCCGGCCUUCGGGUUGUGAACCUCUGUCAGCGCAGACGAGGCGGAAGUGACGGUACGUGCAGAAGAAGGACCGGCCAACUACGUG
rnacentral:rRNA from 1 species